rnacentral:rRNA from 1 species
CCUACGGGAGGCAGCAGUGGGGGAUAUUGCACAAUGGGGGAAACCCUGAUGCAGCGACGCCGCGUGAGUGAAGAAGGAUUUCGGUAUGUAAAGCUCUAUCAGCGGGGAAGAAAAUGACAGUACCUGACCAAGAAGCCCCGGCUAACUACGUGCCAGCAGCCGCGGUAAUACGUAGGGGGCAAGCGUUAUCCGGAUUUACUGGGGGUAAAGGGAGCGUAGGCGGUUAUGUAAGGCUGGGGUGAAAGGCCCUGGCCUAACCCCGGGACUGCUUUGGAAACUGGGUAACUGGAGUCCAGGAGGGGAAGGCGGAAUUCCUGGUGUAGCGGUGAAAUGCGUAGAUAUCAGGAGGAACACCGGCGGCGAAGGCGGCCUGCUGGACUGAAACUGACGUUGAGGCUCGAAAGUGUGGGGAGCAAACAGGAUUAGAUACCCUUGUAGUC